UACGUAGGGGGCAAGCGUUGUCCGGAAUCAUUGGGCGUAAAGGGCGCGUAGGCGGCGUUUUAAGUCGGGGGUGAAAGCCUGUGGCUCAACCACAGAAUGGCCUUCGAUACUGGGACGCUUGAGUAUGGCAGAGGUUGGUGGAACUGCGAGUGUAGAGGUGAAAUUCGUAGAUAUUCGGAAGAACACCAGUGGCGAAGGCGACUUACUGGACACAUAUUGACGCUGAGGUGCGAAAGCGUGGGGAGCAAACAGG
rnacentral:rRNA from 1 species